GACUGCGUAGCUCAGUUGGCAGAGCAUUGGGCUAGUAUUCCAAAGGUCGUAGGUUUGAUUCCUACCGUGAACA
rnacentral:tRNA from 1 species